AUCUCUCUUCAUCCCACUCCACCAAUAGAUCUCUCGCAUGUCGCGGUACAUCUUAGUGGCCCCUGGAUGAAUAGAGUAUCGUGCACCAUGUGCUUCUGCAAGAAUUCGUUACCUCAAUUCAUCUACACCUGGAACACAUAGACGAUCCUGACAACGAAGAAUACCAUCUCCCCUUGGGAGAAAAUCUCAAAUUUCUGAUCCUGAACUGACUCUUUGAGCUUGACAAGGCUAGGAUCCCUGUCUUGUUUCUCUUUCACCUCGGAAACUAGAGAUGACUCUGAACUACUAUAAACAUAUACACCACCCUCUGAAGAAUCGACUAAGCGAACGCCUAGUCUGGCAAGCUGAUGGAUCUCCUGAGCCAUCUUUUUCUUACUAUCCUCAACGUGAGAAAUACUACCCAUGGAGAGUCGACUCAGAGCGUCGGCCACGACAUUGGCCUUGCCCGGAUGAUAAAAACACUCAUGUCGUAAUCCUUCAAGAGCUCUAACCACCUUCUCUGGUGAAGAUUAAGAUCUUUCUGGGAAAAGACAUACUGGAGGCUUUUAUGGUUUGUGAAGACAUCUACAUGAACUCCAUAGAGGUAAUGCCUCCAAAUUUUCAAGGCAAAAACUACCGCUGCUAACUCAAGAUCAUGAGUAGGAUAAUUCUUCUCAUGUGGCUUUAACUGUCUGGAGGCGUAGGCUAUGAAGGAAAAAACUAUCGUUGCUAACUCAAGAUCAUGAGUAGGAUAUUUCUUCUCAUGUGGCUUUAACUGUCUUGAGGCGUAGGCUAUGACCUUACCAUGCUGCAUAAGGACACAACCUAAAUCCACU
rnacentral:lncRNA from 1 species